AGAACUCUUGAAUAGCCUUCCCUGAGGCCUAUAGAGCCCUAAAUAGUCUCCCCUUAAUCAAGGCUCGACUCCUUUCUCUAGAGUCCUCGAACAAAGUA